GAGGUGAUAGGAGAGACGGGAUGGGGGACAGGAGGGGUAAUGGGAGAGACAGGAGAGGUGAUAGGAGAGACAGGAUGAGGGACAGGAGAGGUGAUAGGAGAGACAGGAUGGGGGACAGGAGAGGUGAUAGGAGAGACAGGAUGAGGGACAGGAGAGGUGAUAGGAGAGACAGGAUGGGGGACAGGAGGGGUAAUGGGAGAGACAGGAGAGGUGACAGGAAAGACAGGAUGAGGGACAGGAGAGGUGAUAGGAGAGACGGGAUGGGGGACAGGAGGGGUGAUAAAAGAGACAGGAGAGGUGACAGGAAAGACAGGAUGAGGGACAGGAGGGGUGAUGGGAGAGACAGGAGAGGUGAUAGGAGAGACAGGUUGAGAGACAGGAGGGUAAUGGGAGAGACAGGAUGUGGGACAGGAGGGUGAUAGGAGAGACAGGUUGAGAGACAGGAGAGGUGAUAGGAGAGACAGGAUGGGGGACAGGAGGGGUAAUGGGAGAGACAGGAGAGGUGACAGGAAAGACAGGAUGAGGGACAGGAGGGGUGAUGGGAGAGACAGGAGAGGUGAUAGGAGAGACAGGUUGAGAGACAGGAGGGGUAAUGGGAGAGGCAGGAGAGGUGAUAGGAGAGACGGGAUGGGGGACAGGAGGGGUGAUAAAAGAGACAGGAGAGGUGAUAAGAGAGACAGGAUGGGGGACAGGAGGGGUGAUGGGAGAG
ensembl:lncRNA